rnacentral:rRNA from 1 species
AGCGAACGCUGGCGGCAGGCUUAACACAUGCAAGUCGAGCGGGCAUCUUCGGAUGUCAGCGGCAGACGGGUGAGUAACACGUGGGAACGUACCCUUCGGUUCGGAACAACUCUGGGAAACUGGAGCUAAUACCGGAUACGCCCUUAUGGGGAAAGGUUUACUGCCGAAGGAUCGGCCCGCGUCUGAUUAGCUAGUUGGUGGGGUAACGGCCUACCAAGGCGACGAUCAGUAGCUGGUCUGAGAGGAUGAUCAGCCACACUGGGACUGAGACACGGCCCAGACUCCUACGGGAGGCAGCAGUGGGGAAUAUUGGACAAUGGGCGCAAGCCUGUUCCAGCCAUGCCGCGUGAGUGAUGAAGGCCUUAGGGUUGUAAAGCUCUUUUGUCCGGGACGAUAAUGACGGUACCGGAAGAAUAAGCCCCGGCUAACUUCGUG